AUCUUACUUUCCGUCGAGUUGCUGCCGCUGAUUGAUUGAGCCCGAUUGGUCCGGUUCCACGUGGGGAAGCGCAGCUCGACGCCCCAUUGGUCGCUGUUUUGGAUAAAAGCACGCUGGUUGUCCCCACGUCUUUUUUUCCAUCGAGCUAUUGCUGCUGCUGAUUGAUUGAGGGGACGAACUGCCAAAAUCGGUCAGCCGAUUGGUCUUCUCGCCUGUCAGUCACCAUGAUGAAGGUAGCGCCCCUUCCGGGUGUAUAGGACACUAAAGAGUGUGGAGGUUGGUUAUGACCUACAGGUCCACAGCAAUUAAUUAAUUACAUAUGUACAGUAAUUAAGCACAGCCAUGUCAGUCUUGCAUUCACAGGGGUUGAAAAUGCAGAAGCCACUACCAGUUGAACACAGACACAGUCCAUACUACUGGGAUCGGACAAAAUUGGGACUAUGUUGGAGGGGACUGCACCAGGUGCUACUAUGACGACACCAACUCCCUUGAAGAUUACUCCCAUUGAAGACAUCUGAUAUGAUUGACUAUAAAUGGAGGAGAACAAAGAAAGAACAAUGGGGCUAUUGACCCUACUUUUUAUCCUGGGCUGGCCAAGAUGAGCUGGACUGGGGGAAACACCCCUGCAACAAGACGACCUGAAUAAGGCUCACAACUGUCCUUGCGUUUAUAACACUGACCAAGCACAAGACAGAAGCUGAACUAGAAUUUGCUUGUGACCAAUGUGAGAAGUGGUUCGAGAAGGCUCACAAUUUGAAUGUUCAUAUGUCCAUGGUUCAUCCCUUGACCCAGAAUACAGAUAAAAACAAACCUAUUAAAAUUGAAUCAAGUCAGCUAAGUAGAGAAACAUUAAUUAAGCAGGAACCCAGUUAAUAGUUAUUCAACAGCUAAAUGAUUAGUCUAAAGAAUCUUGCACCCUUUUUCAAUGUCAGCAAGACGCAAAGGAUUAACAUGAAUAAAUGUAAUCAAUUCAGGCACACCUAAAAUAGGUAGAGCAAAGGAAAGGUUAUUGUGGAUAAUAUAGUUCAGAGCAUUAUAGCACACCAGUUCCAAAGACAAAGUCCAAUGUCUGCAAUGGGGUAGAGAAUCAGGCAGAAUCCUGGCAAUUGGAAGGACUGUUCAGAACUCUGAUAACAGGGCCACAGUUACAUCCUGGACAUGCAGUCAAUCGCAGCAUUUUUUUGAAUGAGGUACAGUGCCCAUCCAAUAGAAAUAAGGACACAAUGGAGGAAGUUCUGGAUGGUUCAAUAACCCUUUCACCUUGGAAUGGAACAGUGACUGAAAAUGGUGAGGGUGAUAAUGUUGCGAAGCAUCAACCUGUCUCAGUGUUGGCAGACUUUCAGUCUUUUACAUACAGUAGGUAUGUUACAAAACCUACCUGAAUCGUCAUUGGGAAUCUGCCCUCAGCCAUGGCGCGCUUUUGGCGCUGUUUGGAGGGGGCGGGUUUAAAACGCGAUUUUUACUAGGCUGUACUAAUCGCACAUGUUCAGCCUAGUAAAUCAUUAACGGAAAAUCGCUGCAAGACCCGGUCGCAAAAGGUAUUAUUAGUUUUAUAGGCCUCGAUAAUAUAGUUCUAAUAGUUUUUAAAUUACUGUUUCAUUCCGCAACCUCUCGCAGCCCCAGGGUUUUAUAGAGCAAACAAUUAAAGGUAUGUACCUUAUUUUUACAUGAAAUGGGGCAUAUAUAUAACCCUAUAUAUCAAGUUAUCUAUAGCGAGUAGCUCAUUUUGGGCUUUUUAUAUCCCGCAGUAUUUUUCUCGGCAUUUGAGGGCACUAAUCCAGCGCUAUGUCAACGUUCUAAACCAGCGCGUUCCACAUGAACCCACUAGAAAGCCGAUUUAAAUGGGCAUUUAUUUACAGCAAUUGAACACUAAAUUCCUUCCAUUUGGCCUAUAAAUUAAUGUAAAUUAGAUAUAAAAAUCAUGUUAUAUUGUGAAUUAUUUGUGAAUAAUCUUUGGACACUUAGGCUAUUUAAAAUGUUAAUCUUUCCUUAAGAAAUGGGCUUUUGAUUAUCCAAGAUCACAGCUUUUUUGUAAUGUCCAUUGAAAAUCAAUAGGGAACAAGAUGCUAAUUUCCGAGUAUGAAAAUGGUCAUAACUUUUUUAAUACUUGAGAUAUGAAAGUGAAUUUGGUGUCAAAUUAAACUUAUUGUUAUGCUUUAUCUGAUGGGAUAAAUUGCAGACUUGAUUUUUUAAAUCUCAAAAUUUUGUAACAUUGCUAC